rnacentral:rRNA from 1 species
GGGAAACUACGGCUAAUACCGCAUGAUCCCUGAGGGGCAAAGGCGAGAGUCGCCUGAGGAGGAGCCUGCGUCUGAUUAGGUAGUUGGUGGGGUAAAGGCCUACCCAAGCCUACGAUCAGUAGCUGGUCUGAGAGGAUGAUCAGCCACAUUGGGACUGAGACACGGCCCAAACGUCCUACGGGAGGGCAGCAGUGGGGAAUAUUGGACAAUGGGCGCAAGCCUGAUCCAGCAAUGCCGCGUGGGUGAAGAAGGUCUUCGGAUUGUAAAGCCCUUUUGGCGGGGACGAUGAUGACGGUACCCGCAGAAUAAGCUCCGGCUAACUUCGUG